rnacentral:rRNA from 1 species
AUUGAACGCUGGCGGCAUGCUUUACACAUGCAAGUCGAACGGUAACAGGCCGCAAGGUGCUGACGAGUGGCGAACGGGUGAGUAAUGCAUCGGAACGUGCCCAGUCGUGGGGGAUAACGCAGCGAAAGCUGCGCUAAUACCGCAUACGAUCUAUGGAUGAAAGCGGGGGACCGUAAGGCCUCGCGCGAUUGGAGCGGCCGAUUUCGGAUUAGGUAGUUGGUGGGGUAAAGGCUCACCAAGCCAGCGAUCUGUAGCUGGUCUGAGAGGACGACCAGCCACACUGGGACUGAGACACGGCCCAGACUCCUACGGGAGGCAGCAGUGGGGAAUUUUGGACAAUGGGCGCAAGCCUGAUCCAGCAAUGCCGCGUGCAGGGAGAAGGCCUUCGGGUUGUAAACUGCUUUUGUACGGAACGAAACGGCUCUGGUUAAUACCUGGGGCUAAUGACGGUACCGUAAGAAUAAGCACCGGCUAACUACGUGCCAGCCGCCGCCGUAAAAC